CACCCUGCUCUCAUGGCAGGGCUGAGUGUUUACAUUGCCGUGGCUCACUCUGUAAUACAUCUGGCAUUCUGAGGCCACUCUCUCUAGCCAAGGAAGGAGGGAGGUGAGGGGGCUUGAGCAGAAGAGAGAAACCUUUCUAGCAUCGAGGAGAGAAGAGGAAUAGAGGAGUGAAAGAAGGAGCAGUCCUGUUCAAGAGAUGGACUCCAACAUCAGGCACAUACGUCUGCACAAAGGCAAAUCUACAGCAGCAUUUUCUCUGCAGUCCCUUCCCUGCACCCAUGGACAACCCAUGCCACUCCACCCCCACCUUCCCUGCUGCGAGUCUUCACUCUGCACCCAGGCCACAGGGUGGUGCCCUGUCCUUGUUGGACCAUUACUGGAGGAGUAUUUGAGCAGUAGG